GGUUGUCAAAGAUCAGCUGUGAUUUUCUGGCCUCAGCUCUGAAGUCCAACAGUCUCCAUCUGACAGAACUGAACCUGGAUGGAAACAACCUGAAGGAUUCAGAUGUUCAGCAGCUGAAGGAUCUUGUAGAGACUUUAAAGUCGUAAAGUAGAGAACGGUCUCUGUGUCCUGCUGAUCCUCAGAGGUUGAAGCUGCAGCAGUUUGAGUCUAAAGAAACUGACUAGAUUAUGAUGAUGACCUCUGACCUUAAAGAUUUUCCUCCUGUUUAUUUUCUCAUGUCUGUCAUUUAGUGUCUGAUAUUGUUUGUCUUUUUGGAUCAAUAAAGAUCCGAUUCAAACUGRGCUCCAUUUAGAGGCUUCAUGGAGUUUUGAUCUGAACUGGAUUCAACUGGAAAGUUGAUCUUUUUUCUCUCUGGUUCAUUUUCAUCCUGGAACCAGAAAUGAUCUGAGAUGGAAACAUGGGAAUCAUUUUCAGUUCAGCUUUGAAUCAUGAAAGACACUUCAAACCUCUUUUCUCUGMUGCUUCUUCUUCUGUUGACAGGAAAAUGUUCCUCAAAGCUCCACAGAUAAAAAGAUGCUUUACUGGAAACUGCAGAGAAACUUCAGCUUCCAUCACAGAAACCAGUUUAACCAGUGCCAGAAAAAUUAUGUAUAUUUUUAUCACAUUCAUUUAUCUGUUUUCUUAUAUUUUGAGCAUGUAGACUGUUUAGGAUUUAAAUUGUUUAGUAUUAUGGAGCAAAUGUUACAAGAAUGUAUUCAGGUAUUCAUGGCCGUGAGAGGGAAGCAGAAGAGCCAUUGGCAGGGGAGAGCUGCUAAAGAGCACCAGGAGGUCAGAGCUCAAAGAUCAAAGCUUAUGAGCCAGAGAGACAAAGAAUUGUGCUUGGGUCCCUGUGUAUGAAGAAGACAGAAGACUCGUUUGAUGAGAACCUCGUAAUUAUCGUUUAAUUAUCAUCAAACGAUAAUUAAAAAAGCUGUGUGAAAGCCUA